AAAAGUUAGUUUAAAUAAAACAUUAAUUUGUCAAAUUAAAAAUAUUAAAAAUUAAUACUUUUUA
rnacentral:tRNA from 1 species